UACGAGAGGCCCAAACGUUAUUCGGAUUUAUUGGGCGUAAAGAGCUCGUAGGCGGCUUGUCGCGUCGGCUGUGAAAACCCGCGGCUCAACUGUGGGCGGGCAGCUGAUACGGGCAGGCUGGAGUUCGGUAGGGGAGACUGGAAUUCCUGGUGUAGCGGUGAAAUGCGUAGAUAUCUGGAGGAAUACCGGUGGCGAAGGCGGCAUCCUGGACCGGCAUUGACGCUGAGGAGCGAAAGCCAGGGGAGCAAACGGG
rnacentral:rRNA from 1 species